CGUCACGAUUUCUCCAACGCCACCAAAAUCCUCUCAUCGCACUCCGAUGGAGAACAGCACCUGCCAGUGCGAGCUACGGACAUCAAACAACGACCAGGUGGCCUCCACCACCGUCGUGGUAGUGGUCACGCAGGAGCAGCUUGUCGUCGCCAACUGCGGUGAUUCCCACGCCGUGCUUUUCCUUCGAUCACAAGAGUUAGAGAAGAUUGCCGCCCAAACCCCGCCUGACACAAUCACUCAGAUCUGAAUCCUAAUCCUCUGGCACAAUCACUCGGAUCUGGCUUGUAGAUCCGAUCACGGCACUGGCUUCAGUCACUGACCUGUAUACAAUUAUUGAUGGCUCCGGUGCUGGGUCCGACCACCGUUGUAGCACCAUCUCGGGGAGGAUCAAACUCUAGUAGCUUCCCAUCUAUCUUCAUAGCUCCAUUUAAUUUCAAUUUUGGCUUACUUUAAAUUUGCUUUGAUAUUGCUUCGAUUUUGUUUUUAUCAUUAUCGAUUGUUCAAUACUGGAUUGUUAUUGCCUUAUAAUGGCUUCCAUUUCUUUCUUCAAGCUCUACGGUUUUGUAGUUUUUUGAGUUAAUUAUUGUAAAAAAAAAAAUUUAGUGCA